CACAAAUGAGGCCCCUCAUGGGGGGGUCCUAGUAAUCACAUAAUCACCAUUUUUUUGCCAAUAUAAUCACAUAAUCAUUAAAUAUUUGCUUAUCUUUAGUAAUCAAAUAAUCAUAAACUAAAAAUACAGUCCUAGGUAAUCAAAUAAUCAUGAAAUAUUUGGCUUAAUAAUCAAAUAAUCAUUAAAAAAACGGCCAAGUAAUCACAUAAUCAAAAACCCCAUGAGGGCCCUCACA
rnacentral:lncRNA from 1 species